rnacentral:rRNA from 1 species
CCAAUAGCGUAUAUUAAAGUUGUUGCAGUUAAAAAGCUCGUAGUUGAAUUUCGGGGUUAGUAGGUUGGUCAUGCCUCUGGUAUGUACUGGUCUCACUGAUUCCUCCUUCCUUAUGAACCGUAAUGCCAUUAAUUUGGUGUUGCGGGAAAUUUGGACUGUUACUUUGAAAAAAUUAGAGUGUUUAAAGCAAGCUAACGCUUGAAUACAUUAGCAUGGAAUAAUGAAAUAGGACGUUCGAUCUUAUUUUGUUGGUUUCUAGGAUUGACGUAAUGAUUAAUAGGGAUAGUUGGAGGCAUUAGUAUUCAAUUGUCGGAGGUGAAAUUCUUGGAUUUAUUGAAGACUAACUACUGCGAAAGCAUUUGCCAAGGAUGUUUUCAUUAAUCAAGAACGAAAGUUAGGGGAUCGAAGACGAUCAGAUACCGUCGUAGUCUUAACCAUAAACUAUGCCGACUAGGGAUCGGAUGAUGUUAAUUUUUUAAUGACUCAUUCGGCGCCUUACG